rnacentral:rRNA from 1 species
ACCAUGCAGUCGAACGGUGAAGAGGAGCUUGCUCCUUGGAUCAGUGGCGAACGGGUGAGUAACACGUGAGCAAUCUGCCCUUGACUCUGGGAUAACUGCGGGAAACUGUAGCUAAUACCGGAUAUUACCUUGGAAGGCAUCUUCUGGGGUGGAAAGAAUUUUGGUCAAGGAUGAGCUCGCGGCCUAUCAGCUAGUUGGUGAGGUAAUGGCUCACCAAGGCGACGACGGGUAGCCGGCCUGAGAGGGUGACCGGCCACACUGGGACUGAGACACGGCCCAGACUCCUACGGGAGGCAGCAGUGGGGAAUAUUGCACAAUGGGCGCAAGCCUGAUGCAGCAACGCCGCGUGAGGGACGACGGCCUUCGGGUUGUAAACCUCUUUUAGUAGGGAAGAAGCGACUGGGUUUUCCUGGGAGUGACGGUACCUGCAGAAAAAGCACCGGCUAACUACGUGCCAGCAGCCGCGGUAAUACGUAGGGUGCAAGCGUUGUCCGGAAUUAUUGGGCGUAAAGAGCUCGUAGGCGGUUUGUCGCGUCUGCUGUGAAAACCCGAGGCUCAACCUCGGGCCUGCAGUGGGUACGGGCAGACUAGAGUGCGGUAGGGGAGAUUGGAAUUCCUGGUGUAGCGGUGGAAUGCGCAGAUAUCAGGAGGAACACCAAUGGCGAAGGCAGAUCUCUGGGCCGUAACUGACGCUGAGGAGCGAAAGCAUGGGGAGC